UUGUUAUUCUCUUUUUCCUCUGUUCAUUAUUUUCCCUUCAACCCUCCCCCUUCCCUCACCCUACCUCCAAUUUUUUCCUUCCUACCCUCUCUCCUCUCCCCCCCCCAUCCACCCACGCCCCCACUUACUCACCCCCCUCACUCUCCCCCUCUCCACCCUUCCUCCCUCCCGCCCCUCUUGCACCCCUCACCCCCCUCUAGCCCCACCGCUUUCCCCCACUGCUCUCCCCCUCUCCCCCCACUCCUCACUUCCCCUCCCUCCCCUCCCUCUCUUUUGCCCCCAUCCACUACCAUUCCCCCUUGCUUUAAGGGAAACUUACCUUUCCUGCUCUUCACUGACUUCUUGAUUCUCGUGGCUUUGGCUGCUAUUUGCCUUGCUUUGCUUUGCUGUGCUAUGCAUUGCUUUCCCUGUAUUUCUUGCCAUCCACUCCUUCCUUCGAGUUAUUCUUUACUUUUUGACUUGGCUGUUUUCUUCUUUUCUCUUACCUUUCUUCUCUUGCAUUAACCAUUUUCCUUUCGUUUUCUCUUUUUUCAUCUAUUAUUUUUUUCUUUUCUUUUUUUCUUUUUUCUUUUUUUCAUAUUUUUCUGUCCUCUUUUUUAUUUCUAUUUUCUCUUUUUUCUUUUUCUUUAUCUUUUUUCUUUUUUUAGGCUUUUUUUUCCUUUUUUUCUCUUUUUUGUUCAUUUUUUUCUUUUCUUUUCUCUUUUUUGUUCAUUUUUUUUUCUUUUCUCUUUUUUCUCUUUUUUGUUCAUUUUUUUUCUUUUCUCUUUUUUCUUUUUUGUUCAUUUUUUUCUUUUCUCUUUUUUUUUUUUGUUCAUUUUUUUUCUUUUCUCUUUUUUCUCUUUUUUGUUCAUUUUUUUUCUUUUCCUUUUUUCUCUUUUUCUUAUUUUUCUUUUCUUUUUUCUCUUAUUUCAUAUUUUUUGUGCUUAUUUUUUCUUUUCUUUUUUCAUCAUUGGUUUGCCUUCAGCCCUCCCCUCAGCCCUUCCCUCCCGCUCUGCUCUUCACCCAUCCCCUCCCCUCCCCAUCCCUCUUUCUCCCUUACCCUCCCCUUUCCCCUUGCCUCUGCCUCCCAUUACCUUGCCUGCCCUUCACUUACCUUCUCCUCACUUCCUGCUUCUUGAUGCUAUGGGCUUUUUGCUGCUACUCACGCCAAACCUCAGCACUUGCCUACUCUGCUUGCUGCUCUGCCAAGUUGCUCUCUACUCUGCUCACAGCUUCACGCCUACUGCCUGCCCUUCUCUGUCCCCUUCUCGUGCCCUUCAGGCUUUUCCUCCCCUUGCUGAGCAAGGCCAUGCCCGGUAGCUACCCUUGAACCUCCUCCGCCCUUUGCCCUCCUCCACAGAGAUGCUUGCUUCUGGCCAGCACUCCUGCCCGGUGCCUAGCCCACACACCUCAUCUCCUGGGGAGAUAGCAAGGUGGCCUGUAGCUACCCACACCUCCUCCCGGGCAUGGCUUCUCAGCUUUGCUUCAAGCCCAGAACCCAAAGGAGCUCCUCUUACCUUUUGGCCCACAUUCUUCUCCUCCCGCGCAGCUCCUGUGGCAAGCAGGGGCACAGCUCUGGCCAGAUUCCUCCAUUCCUGCAAGGUUGCUUUUUGUCAUUCUUUGCCUUCUUUGCUUUGCUCUCUUUUGCUGUGCUAUGCCUAGCUUUCCUACUUGCUUGCUCUGUAUUUACAUGCAUUGCUUUUUACUUGUUAUUCUCUUUUUUCCCCCCGUUUCAUUAUUUUCCCUUCAACCCUCCCCCUUCCCUCACCCUACCUCCAAUUUUUUCCUUCCUACCCUCUCUCCUCUCCCCCCCCAUCCACCCACGCCCCCACUUACUCACCCCCCUCACUUCUCCCCCCUCUCCACCCUUCCUCCCUCCCCCU
rnacentral:lncRNA from 7 species